AGAGUUUGAUCCUGGCUCAGAACGAACGCUGGCGGCAGGCUUAACACAUGCAAGUCGAACGCUCGUAGCAAUACGGGAGUGGCGGACGGGUGAGUAACGCGUGGGAACGUGCCCUGAGGUACGGAAUAACUGCGGGAAACUGCAGCUAAUACCGUAUGAGCCCCGCAAGGGGGAAAGAUUUAUCGCCUUGGGAGCGGCCCGCGUCGGAUUAGCUAGUUGGUGGGGUAACGGCCUACCAAGGCUUCGAUCCGUAGCUGGUCUGAGAGGACGAUCAGCCACACUGGGACUGAGACACGGCCCAGACUCCUACGGGAGGCAGCAGUGGGGAAUCUUGCGCAAUGGGGGCAACCCUGACGCAGCCAUGCCGCGUGAAUGAUGAAGGCCUUAGGGUUGUAAAGUUCUUUUGCCCGUGACGAUGAUGACGGUAACGGGAGAAUAAGCUCCGGCUAACUUCGUG
rnacentral:rRNA from 1 species